UACGUAGGGUGCAAGCGUUAUCCGGAAUUAUUGGGCGUAAAGAGCUCGUAGGCGGUCUGUUGCGUCGGCUGUGAAAACCCGGGGCUCAACCCCGGGCCUGCAGCCGAUACGGGCAGACUAGAGUUCGGCAGGGGGAGACUGGAAUUCCUGGUGUAGCGGUGAAAUGCGCAGAUAUCAGGAGGAACACCGGUGGCGAAGGCGGGUCUCUGGGCCGAUACUGACGCUGAGGAGCGAAAGCGUGGGGAGCGAACAGG
rnacentral:rRNA from 1 species